UAAUACCGCAUAGUAUCUGUGGAUUAAAGGUGGCCUUUGGGCUGUCGCAGAUGGAUGAGCCUGCGUUGGAUUAGCUAGUUGGUGGGGUAAGGGCCUACCAAGGCUACGAUCCAUAGCUGAUUUGAGAGGAUGAUCAGCCACAUUGGGACUGAGACACGGCCCAAACUCCUACGGGAGGCAGCAGUGGGGAAUAUUGGACAAUGGGGGUAACCCUGAUCCAGCAAUGUCAUGUGUGUGAAGAAGGCCUUAGGGUUGUAAAGCACUUUAGUUGGGGAGGAAAGCUUUGAGGUUAAUAGCCUUGAGGAAGGACGUUACCCAAAGAAUAAGCACCGGCUAACUCCGUGCCAGCAGCCGCGGUAAUACGGGGGGUGCAAGCGUUAAUCGGAAUUAUUGGGCGUAAAGGGUCUGUAGGUGGUUUGUUAAGUCAGAUGUGAAAGCCCAGGGCUCAGCCUUGGAACUGCAUUUGAUACUGGCAAACUAGAGUACGGUAGAGGAAUGGGGAAUUUCUGGUGUAGCGGUGCAAUGCGUAGAGAUCAGAAGGAACACCAAUGGCGAAGGCAACAUUUUGGACCGGUACUGACACUGAGGGACGAAAGCGUGGGGAUCAAACAGGAUUAGAUACCCUGGUAGUCCACGCUGUAAACGAUGAAUACUAGCUGUUGGGGUCGGUGUAAAGGCUCUAGUGGCGCAGCUAACGCGAUAAGUAUUCCGCCUGGGGACUACGGCCGCAAGGCUAAAACUCAAAGGAAUUGACGGGGACCCGCACAAGCGGUGGAGCAUGUGGUUUAAUUCGAUGCAACGCGAAGAACCUUACCUGGUCUUGACAUCCUGCGAGCUUUCUAGAGAUAGAUUGGUGCCUUCGGGAACGCAGUGACAGGUGCUGCACGGCUGUCGUCAGCUCGUGUUGUGAAAUGUUGGGUUAAGUCCCGCAACGAGCGCAACCCCUAUUGAUAGUUACUAUCAUUAAGUUGGGUACUCUAUUGAAACUGCCGCUGAUAAGGCGGAGGAAGGUGGGGACGACGUCAAGUCAUCAUGGCCCUUACGACCAGGGCUACACACGUGCUACAAUGGGUAUUACAGAGGGCUGCGAAGGAGCGAUCU
rnacentral:rRNA from 1 species